rnacentral:rRNA from 1 species
AACGAACGCUGGCGGCAUGCCAAACACAUGCAAGUCGAACGAGAUCUUCGGGUCUAGUGGCGCACGGGUGCGUAACGCGUGGGAAUCUGCCCUUUGGUUCGGAAUAACAGUUGGAAACGACUGCUAAUACCGGAUGAUGACGAAAGUCCAAAGAUUUAUCGCCAGAGGAUGAGCCCGCGUAGGAUUAGCUAGUUGGAGUGGUAAAGGCGCACCAAGGCGACGAUCCUUAGCUGGUCUGAGAGGAUGAUCAGCCACACUGGGACUGGGACACGGCCCAGACUCCUACGGGAGGCAGCAGUGGGGAAUAUUGGACAAUGGGCGAAAGCCCGACCCAGCAAUGCCGCGUGAGUGAUGAAGGCCUUAGGGUUGUAAAGCUCUUUUACCCGGGAUGAUAAUGACAGUACCGGGAGAAUAAGCUCCGGCUAACUCCGUGCCAGCCGCCGCUGUAA